ensembl:misc_RNA Metazoa_SRP Metazoan signal recognition particle RNA
GCCAGGUGUGGUGGUGCACACCUGUAAUCCCAGCUACUCGGGAGGCUGAGGCAGGAGAAUUACUUGAACCCGGGAGGCAGAGGCUGCAGUGAUCUGAGAUUGUGCCACUGCACUCCAGCCUGGGCAAUAGAGUGAGACUCUGUCUCAA